CAUAAUAGCAAUUUAAAAUAUCAGACGUGCCAUGGCAUGUUAACAAGGAGAUGCCUCAAAAGCAUGGUACUGACAUUGCAAUACGAGAUAAUAACAUAUAAUGUUUCUGAUUGUUAAGAUUAUUGACCCAAAACUCACAAGCAAUCGUAAAAAUAGUAAAAUAAAUCAAGAACAGAAAUUGAACACAAGAAUCGUUCACCAAAUUCAGCCAAACACAGCCUAAUCUGGGGGGCUCAGAAGUAAGCCCGUCACUAACAAGAAACCUUCAAGAGAGUGUACAACCAUUUGAGAAAACCAAAACUAACCCACUAUAUGGUCAUCAAUCCACAAGAAUCUCUCAAUAACUCGAACCCUAGCCCACAAAACUAGACAAAACCUUGUCACAGGUUUACCAGCCACAUACAAGGCCUAAAACAAUGUACCAACAUUCUACCAUCAUCAGAUAACUAUAAGAUUAUUACAAAGAUCACCAAAGUUCUUCAGAUCUAAAAAGAAAAGAAGAAGCAGAAGGGAGAGAGAGCUAGAGAGAGAAAAAACCAAAAAGAUAAUUUCUUCAAAAUAGAGAGUGACAGACUGCUCCUUUUCCCAACCCUCAAAAGGACUUAGGAAAUACCAAGAAACUGUCUUGGACUUUGUUUGAAUCCAUAUAGAGAUUUUUGCAAUUUACAAACAAAAUCAAAAUUUUCCUAUUCUUCGAAACCUUGUGGUUGACACAUGUAUAUGUCCUCUUACAAAUCCCUAUGUAAAAAAGACAGUUUUCACGUCUAAUUGUUCAAGUUCCCAAUCAAAUUGAACAACUAGAGCCAAAAAUGAGUCUUAUGAUUUUAUAUUUGAUUACAGGUGAAAAAAUUUCAUUGUAAUCAACUCCCUCCCUUUGAAUGAAGGCUACUAGCCUUGCCUUAUACCUCAAAGGAUCAGAUUCUGAAAUCCCUUCUUUCAACUUAAAGAUCCACUUACAUUGAACCACUAUGUGAUUCUUUGGCUUCUUUACAAGUUUCCAGGUUUUAUUUUUAAGAAGUGAUUUCAUUUCUUCUUUUAUUGCUUCUAUCCAUUCUUUUGAUUUAGAAUUAUUCAUAGCUUCUUCAUAAGAUAGGAGUUCAAAGUGUUCUAAGUUUUCACCAGAGAUGAGGGCAAAUUCAGUCAGAUUAUUCAUUUCAUACCUAGGUUAGGUUUAAUCUGUCUCCUUUCCUUAUCUCUCACCAAUUGAUAAUCUUGGGUACUAGCUUCAUUUUUCGGGUAGUUAGAUGCCACAGUUUCAGAUUCUGUUUCAGUUCCAAUUUGGGAUGGAUUAACUUCACCUUCAUCAAUAUUUUCUACACUUACACUAACAUGUACAGGUUCUGGUUCAGUUAUAUCAGAUUUGUUAUUAUAUAAUUUUGCCAACUUCACCUCAUUUUGGGAAGUACCCUUUUCAGCCAGAUCUGAUUUAUCCAUAUUAUUCUCCAAGCAAUGCAUCUCAGUCUCAUUAAACACCACAUUUAUACUGUUAAUGAUCUUUAUUCCCUUAAUACCAAGUACCCUAUAACCUUUACCCUUUAACCCCUUCAGGGUAUCCAUGCAUAACACACAUGGUAGCCCUCGGGUCUAAUUUCUCCUCAAUUUGAUAUGCAUAUGCAGCACAACCAAAGACUCUUAAGUAUGACAAAUUUGGUGGUUUUCCAAUCCAUAGUUCCUGUGGAGUUUUAAACUCUACAGAACUACAAGAGGACCUAUUUAUAAGGUAGGCAGCCGUGCAUAAAGCUUCUAGCCAAAAUCCUUUUGCAAGCCUAUAAUUGAUCAGCAUACAUCUUACCUUAUUCAUAAGGAUUCUAUUCAUUCUCUCAGCAACCCCAUUUUGUUGGAAUAUGUGUUUAACAGUUCUAUGUCUAAUUAUUCUUUUUUGCUUACAAAAAUUAUCAAAUUCAGCAUUGCAAAAUUCCAACCCAUCACGUUCUUACGGUUUUCAAUUUCUUGUCCAAUUGGUUCUCAACCAUCUUUAACCACAAUCUGAAUUUUUGAAAGGUUUCAAUUUUGGAUUUCAAUGGAUAAGUCCAGACCUUUUUGGAAUAAUCAUCAAUUAUAGAAAGAAAAUAUUUAUUUCCACCAAAGGUUGGGUGGUUUUCUGGCCCCCAUAAAUCUGCAUGGACAUAGUCUAAUUGUCUAUUUAUUGUGUGUGACCUGGUCUCAAAACUCACUCUAUGAGACUUCCCUAGCACACAUGUUUCACAAAAAUUAAGGGGUUCCACUUUAUAUUUCCCAAACAAUUUCUAGUCAUUAAGAUGCUUUAAGCCCUUAUUUCCAAUAUGACCCAUUCUACAAUGCUACAAUUCAAAUUUGCCCUCAGUUUUUAUUUAAAGAUCUUGGGUCUUGGGAAUUAACAGUUUUUCCCAUUAAGUAGUAUAGCCCAUUCCUUUUAGGCCCCUUCAUGACUUCAGGAGAUCCUUUAAAGAUUUUUGAAGUGUUAUUUUCAGAUUUAAAUGUACGUUCCUCAUUUUCAAGAAUCCCCAAUGAAAUGAGGUUUCUUUUUAGAUUUGGGACAUAUCUCACAUUUUUUAUCUGCCCAACACUUCCAUCAUACAUUUUGAUUGAAAUGUCACCAAUUCCAAGUACAUUUUAUGAAUUGUUAUCACUCAUAUAUACUUUCCAGGGUUCUAUCUCCUUGUCGUUAUGAAACCAAGAUUUAUUUGGACACAUAUGAAAUUUACGUCCAUAAUCUAAAAUCCAGUUAGUGUCUGUUUCUUCAUUUGUCACAAUCAUUACAAGAAGGCUGUCAAGUUUAGAACUCACAGCAACAUUAUUUAACUUAAUGUUGCUGGAUUCUUUUAGCUUCUUCUUUAACUCAAAGCAGUCUCUUUUGAAAUGGCUAAGUUUACCACAGUCAUAGCAUUUUUUAUUGCUUUUGUCUCUUGAUUUAGAUCUGGUUUUGGAUUUGGACUUGAAUCUUUUAUUCUGUGAAUUUUUUUCCCUUUUUAUUGGUCUUCCUCUUACAAACAAACUCUCCUCUCUUGAGUUUAGUUUAGAGUCUUUCUUGACUUCCAAUUCUCUAUAUCUUAGGGCAUUUGUCACGAUUGAUUGUGUUAAAGCAUCUCUUGAGUAUUUUAUAGUAUUUCUGAUAUCCUUAUAAGAAUCAGGUAAGGAGAUUAGAAGGAUCACUGCAAGAUCUUCAUCUUCAAAUUUUUUACUAUUAUGAGAAAGACUCUUUACCAGUAUGCUAAAAUCACUCAAAUUGAUUUCAAGGUCUUUUCGGUCAUCCGUUUUAAAACUGAACAGUUUUUCCGGGAGAUAAAUUUUAUUUGGUAAAGUCUUGGUCAAGAACAAAUUAUCCAAGGCUAUCCAUAGGUCUCUAGCAAUUUUAGAUUCCUCUACUUGCCUUACUAUAUUAUCAGAUAAGUGCAGGAUAAUCGAGCUGUAAGCAAUUUCAUUCAUUUCAAGAAUCUCAUCAGGUUUGGCUUUAAGUUCAUCGGAAUAUUUAUCAAGGUCAUCCAGGGCUUUCGCAACCUUUUGUUGGACCAAUAUAGCCCUCAUUUUCUGCUUCCAAAUUGAGUAAACCUCCUUUCCAUCGAAUUGUGAUAAUUCGACCUUAGAACCCAUCAUAGGUUCUGUAAAAGGGUGGUUACUACUAGAAGCCAUGACAUACACAACAAUUUAUGAAUACCAAAAAACCAAGAAACUUUCUAACAGAUUUAAAGUAAUGUAAAUCACUGAAUGAAAAACAAUUAUCUUAACUUGUACAACUGAAGCAAUAUACACAGGCAGACAACGUGUUGGGAAUUCAAAGAAUUACACAACAGAUAUGAAGAACUUUGUAUAAUACCUAAACGUGCUCCUAUUGUCAGAUCAAUUCACAGUGUACAAUGUCACUAAUUAAUCCACAGAACAAUAGACAUGCAAUUUUUGUGCACCAAAAUUAUACAGGUUCUUUUAAUGGUAAGAUCUCACCUACAACACCGUUGAACAACAGUGCAAUCAAAAGUUUUUAAAGACCACCCUAUCACCUGCCAAACUAGAACCGGUCAAGUGCUUACCAAUCUUUAGUUCUUGACCUACGCACUUCAACAGAAAAAUUAGUCUCCUUAGAUGUCUAUGCAGAUCUUUAAGAUCUGGAUAGAAAGUAAAGAAAAAAUAAAAAUCUCAAGAAAUGAAAAAGCCGAAUACUGCAGAUCCAAAAAAGUAGAAUAUGCACGACGAUUUACUUUCCUCAACUCACAAAAUAUCCUUAGCACAAGGUAUAUCAUGCAGAUGCCUCGAAAAUUGAGAUCUGAUGCCAGAUUUGUUAGGAUUAUCGACCAAAACCCACAAGCAAUCGUACAAAUAGUAAAAAUAAAUCAAGAACAUAAAUCGAACACAAGAAUCGUUCACCCAAUUCAGCCAAACACGGCCCGAUCUGGGGAGCUCAGAAGUAAGCCCGUCACUAGCAAGAAACCUUUAAGAGAGUGUACAAUACAACCAUUUGAGAAAACCAAAUCAGACUCACUAUAUGGUCAUCAAUCUACAAGGAUCUCUCAAUAACUCGAACCCUAUCCCACAAAACUAGACAAAACCUUGUCAAGAACAAAAUACAG
rnacentral:lncRNA from 1 species